rnacentral:rRNA from 1 species
GACGAACCGUGCGAACGUUGUUCGGAAUCACUGGGCUUAAAGGGCGCGUAGGCGGGCUAUCAAGUCCGGGGUGAAAUCCUCCAGCUUAACUGGAGAACGGCCUCGGAUACUGAUGGUCUCGAGGAGGAUAGGGGCACACGGAACUGUGGGUGGAGCGGUGAAAUGCGUUGAUAUCCAUAGGAACUCCGGUGGCGAAAGCGGUGUGCUGGAUCCUUUCUGACGCUGAGGCGCGAAAGCCAGGGGAGCAAACGGG